UACGGAGGGUGCGAGCGUUGUCCGGAAUCACUGGGCGUAAAGGGCGCGUAGGCGGCUGGGGAAGUCGGCGGUGAAAGCCCGGAGCUCAACUCCGGGUCGGCCGUCGAGACUCCUCGGCUCGAGCUCACUAGAGGCAGAUGGAAUUCCGGGUGUAGCGGUGGAAUGCGUAGAGAUCCGGAAGAACACCGGUGGCGAAGGCGGCCCGCUGGGCAGUGGCUGACGCUGAGGCGCGACAGCGUGGGGAGCAAACAGGG
rnacentral:rRNA from 1 species